rnacentral:rRNA from 1 species
AACGUAGGCGGUCCGAUAAGUCGGAUGUGAAAGCCCUCGGCUUAACCGAGGAAGUGCAUUCGAAACUGUCGGACUUGAGUAUGAAAGAGGGUCGCGGAAUUCCCGGUGUAGAGGUGAAAUUCGUAGAUAUCGGGAGGAACACCAGUGGCGAAGGCGGCGACCUGGUUCAAUACUGACGCUGAGGUUCGAAAGCGUGGGGAGCAAACA